UGUUGGGCUGCCUAUUGGC
rnacentral:misc_RNA from 1 species